UCAUAAAUGUGCCUCACCCCCAAAUUCUC
rnacentral:piRNA from 1 species